rnacentral:rRNA from 1 species
UACCUGGUGAGGUUGAGAGUACCUGAAGAAUAAGCACCGGCUAACUACGUGCCAGCAGCCGCGGUAAUACGUAGGGUGCAAGCGUUAAUCGGAAUUACUGGGCGUAAAGCGUGCGCAGGCGGACUUUUAAGCCAGAUGUGAAAGCCCCGAGCUUAACUUGGGAAUUGCGUUUGGAACUGGGAGUCUAGAGUCUGUCAGAGGGGGAUGGAAUUCCACGUGUAGCAGUGAAAUGCGUAGAGAUGUGGAGGAACACCGAUGGCGAAGGCAGUCCCCUGGGAUAAGACUGACGCUCAUGCACGAAAGCGUGGGGAGCAAACAGGAUUAGAUACCCUGGUAGUCCACGCCCUAAACGAUGUCUACUAGUUGUUGGGGUAGCAAUACCUCAGUGACGCAGCUAACGCGUGAAGUAGACCGCCUGGGGAGUACGGUCGCAAGAUUAAAAACUCAAAGGAAUUGACGGGG